CUCGUAGGCGGCCAACUAAGUCAGACGUGAAAUCCCUCGGCUUAACCGGGGAACUGCGUCUGAUACUGGAUGGCUUGAGGUUGGGAGAGGGAUGCGGAAUUCCAGGUGUAGCGGUGAAAUGCGUAGAUAUCUGGAGGAACACCGGUGGCGAAGGCGGCAUCCUGGACCGAUUCUGACGCUGAGGAGCGAAAGCCAGGGGAGCAAACG
rnacentral:rRNA from 1 species